UACGUAGGGGGCUAGCGUUGUCCGGAAUCAUUGGGCGUAAAGCGCGUGUAGGCGGUCCGAUAAGUCCGCUGUGAAAGUCGGGGGCUCAACCCUCGGAUGCCGGUGGAUACUGUCGGGCUUGAGUACGGAAGAGGCGAGUGGAAUUCCUGGUGUAGCGGUGAAAUGCGCAGAUAUCAGGAAGAACACCCGUGGCGAAAGCGGCUCUCUGGAACGGUACUGACGCUGAGACGCGAAAGCGUGGGGAGCGAACAGG
rnacentral:rRNA from 1 species